GGAUGGAUAGAAUUCAGCCAUCAGCACUGAAUAACUGCUGUGCAGAAGGACAGAGCCAAAUUAUGGACUGCAAUCUGAUGCCGUUCCAAUGACUAGCACCUGAUCCUCACGUAGUCCUAUUAAAACUUCCUAAUGUAGUAAGCAUGAUCUUAUAUGUUUCAGAAAGUUUCUCCAGUCCUCCAAUGUCUCCCUCAAUUUCUCCCCAGCUGCCACGUGCAUGGAAAUAGUCAAGGAGUGUGCCAUUUCCUCUUACAUCACUGGAGUCAGAAAGUUGUGACCAUAGCUGCUUUCUUUUGGAGCUAUGUUCAUGCUGCAUUUGAGCAAAGUACUGCAACAGUAGCACAGUUUUGUAUGUGGAUGACUUGCCUUUGUACUUUUUCAGCCAUGGAAAAAGAUCCCCACUGCAGCAUCAGGUGUGCACUGGGCAUCAUCUCUGUUUCAGGCUAUAGCAGGUUGUUGCGCAUGAUGCAUGCGAACCUUCUACCAGUAAUUUGA
rnacentral:lncRNA from 1 species